GAAUCCCGUCUUUGACACGGACUACCUGUACAUUAUGGUGUGCUCUCGAAGAGUCGAGUUGUUUGGGAAUGCAGCUCAAAAUGGGUGGUAAAUGCCAUCUAAAGCUAAAUAUUGGCGAGAGACCGAUAGCGAACAAGUACCGUGAGGGAAAGAUGAAAAGGACUUUGGAAAGAGAGUUAAACAGUACGUGAAAUUGCUGAAAGGGAAACGCUUGAAGUCAGUCGCGUUGGCUGGAAAUCAGCCCUUGCUUUUGCUUGGUGUAUUUUCUGGUCGACGGGUCAGCAUCAAUUUCGACCAUUGGAUAAAGUCAUUGGGAAUGUGGCAUCUUUUGGAUGUGUUAUAGCCCAUUGUUGUAUACGGUGGUUGGGAUUGAGGAACUCAGCAUGCCCGUGAGGGCCAGGUUUCGACCAUGUUUCAUGCUUAGGAUGCUGGCAUAAUGGCUUUAAUCGACCCGUCUUGAAACACGGACCAAGGAGUCUAACAUGCCUGCGAGUGUUUGGGUGGAAAACCCAUGCGCGCAAUGAAAGUAAAAGUUGAGAUCCCUGUUAGAGGGGAGCAUUGACGCCCGGACCAGAGCUUUUGUGACGGAUCCGCGGUAGAGCAUGUAUGUUGGGACCCGAAAGAUGGUGAACUAUGCCUGAAUAGGGUGAAGCCAGAGGAAACUCUGGUGGAGGCUCGUAGCGAUUCUGACGUGCAAAUCGAUCGUCAAAUUUGGGUAUAGGGGCGAAAGACUAAUCGAACCAUCUAGUAGCUGGUUCCUGCC
rnacentral:rRNA from 1 species